rnacentral:rRNA from 1 species
UUCUAUGGCCACGUUGUGCAUUGGUACACCCGAUCCCUCGAUCUCGGAAGUUAAGCAGCGCACGGUUUGUACAGUUCUUGGAUGGGGGACCACCCAAAUACGACCGGAUUGCUGUAGCCU